CCUACGGGUGGCAGCAGUCGAGAAUCAUUCACAAUGGGGGAAACCCUGAUGGUGCGACGCCGCGUGGGGGAAUGAAGGUCUUCGGAUUGUAAACCCCUGUCAUGUGGGAGCAAAUUAAAAAGAUAGUACCACAAGAGGAAGAGACGGCUAACUCUGUGCCAGCAGCCGCGGUAAUACAGAGGUCUCAAGCGUUGUUCGGAGUCACUGGGCGGAAAGCGUGCGUAGGCUGUUUCGUAAGUCGUGUGUGAAAGGCGCGGGCUCAACCCGCGGACGGCACAUGAUACUGCGAGACUAGAGUAAUGGAGGGGGAACCGGAAUGCUCGGUGUAGCAGUGAAAUGCGUAGAUAUCGAGAGGAACACUCGUGGCGAAGGCGGGUUCCUGGACAUUAACUGACGCUGAGGCACGAAGGCCAGGGGAGCGAAAGGGAUUAGAUACCCCUGUAGUC
rnacentral:rRNA from 1 species